AAGUCGUAACAAGGUUUCCGUAGGUGAACCUGCGGAACAACGUUAAACCCCCCCGUGAACCUUCAGUGCGCUCGCACUUUCUUAGAAAAGGUAGCAAUCCCUGGUAAAUCAUUGCCGAACAGUUUUGAUUCAGGGACUUCUGCGUAGACUGUGCUUGAGCGUGAGGCAAGUGGCCUGGCAUUCCUCUGCUUGUUGGUGUCUGAAAGUGUCACCAGCUCUGUACGAAUGGCGCAGUCACGAUCGCUAGAGGCCGACACGGCCGGCGACCGGGUCACUGGGCGCGAGCCCCCCUCGUCACCUUUGCAUGAAAACGGGCCUGCGCUUAAUUGUGCGGCCACCAAACUCGAACAACUGUUAACAAUGGAUAUCUUGGUUCUC
rnacentral:misc_RNA from 1 species